rnacentral:snRNA from 1 species
AUCGCUUCUUGGCCUUCCGGCUAAGAUCAAGUGUGGUAUCUGUUCUUCUCAGUUUAAUAUUUGAUAUGUCCUCUAUUUGAGGACUCUAUAUUAAAUGGAUUUUUGGGACUGGGAAACAUAAAACAACAACAACAACCCCUAAAAGAACAGCAAUGUGUAAUUUCACAAACUAUAAUGAUGAAGAACAC